UACGGGGGGAGCAAGCGUUGUUCGGAUUUACUGGGCGUAAAGGGCGCGUAGGUGGCCUUCUAAGUUGAACGUGAAAUCCCUGGGCUCAACCCAGGAACUGCGUCCAAGACUGGGAGGCUUGAAUCCGGGAGAGGGAUGCGGAAUUCCAGGUGUAGCGGUGAAAUGCGUAGAUAUCUGGAGGAACACCGGUGGCGAAGGCGGCAUCCUGGACCGGUAUUGACACUGAGGCGCGAAAGCCAGGGGAGCAAACGGG
rnacentral:rRNA from 1 species